UACGUAGGGUGCAAGCGUUAAUCGGAAUUACUGGGCGUAAAGCGUGCGCAGGCGGUGAUGUAAGACAGAUGUGAAAUCCCCGGGCUCAACCUGGGAACUGCAUUUGUGACUGCAUGGCUAGAGUACGGUAGAGGGGGAUGGAAUUCCGCGUGUAGCAGUGAAAUGCGUAGAUAUGCGGAGGAACACCGAUGGCGAAGGCAAUCCCCUGGACCUGUACUGACGCUCAUGCACGAAAGCGUGGGGAGCAACAGG
rnacentral:rRNA from 1 species